rnacentral:tRNA from 1 species
GCCUGGGUGGCUCAGUCGGUUAGGCGUCUGACUUUGGCUCAGGUCACGAUCGCACGGUUCGUGGGUUCGAGCUCCAUGUCAGGCU